ensembl:lncRNA
GAGCGCUUCGUGUGGUUUCCUGACAGAGGCGGCCCCCCGCCCUGCGUGCGGGCAGAGGCUCCGGCCCGGGACCGGGACCCGGCCGAGGGGCUGCACCGCCAGCAGGGGGCGCUGUGUCCCCGCGUUGCUCGCGUUGCCGCCCUGACUUCGCUUUCCCUCUCGGGCAAUGAUGGGCGGAACCCGCUGUUGAUCCCGGGAUGGGGGUCCUGAGUUAAGGCCGGGUAAACUCGGAACAGGGCGUCUCUGCCUUGCGACGUGACUGUGUCUGUGGCCGGCGCCCAGGGUGAUGCUGGAUCCGCUGUUUCUCAACCACGGUCCUUCGCCCACAUCCCAGCAGCGAAGACCCACCUGGCCUCGGCACAGGGGCGGCGGCUGAGGCUCUGCCCGGCCAGUCCUGAGGGGACACAGCCUGGACGCGUCUGCAGGAGCCGGAGCUGCUCGGGGACAAGGGCGCGGAAGGUGCUGGGGGCGGCGGGCCUUCCAGGUGGACGGACGCCCCCACCUGCGCCUGGAGCCGGACCCCCGCUUUGGUCCUGGACGUGGGGACACGAAACUCUGACGGGGGGCAAAGGCCUCAGGCCCUGCUCUGAACCACAUCUGUCUGCAGGAGGGAAGCGUGCUUGGCCCCCCACCAGCGGCAUAUUUCCUUAAAUUAUCUUCCAGGGCUGCUCAUUCCAAGGACACUGGGCUUGAGGAGCAAAGAGCUGUGCCCCGGAGGCCGGCUUCACCGGGGUGGGUCGUGGGGAGGUUGAAGGCGGCGACCGGGCCUCUGGAGCCCUUGUCGUGGGGCCUGUGCUGCUUCUAGGCACUCAGCCCAGAAAGGCCAGACCGUGUCCCACAGCCUGGGCUAAGCUGGCAACGGCCAAGGCUACCCCCACGGACGGAGCCCCUGACCCAGGAGGAGAACAAUGGUCUCUGAUGGGCUGGUGUGGAACAUAACUCCUACAAAAGCCCACAUUGGUCCUGAGAUGCCACGGCCCCUUUCUACCCUCUGCUUUCCUAGAGUGUGGAGCUCUCACAACCUUUCCGAUCCAUCAAAUGGGGCUUGAGAUGCAAUGACUUAUUUAUGAAUGAAAUUGGAGGUGGCGCAUUAAUAAAUUA